CUGGAAGGGACAACCAUAGCAUUCAUUAAAUUCAUUAAAGAUUGGAUGAAUUAAGAUAGGAUGACAUCGCUCUUGUGAUUUCUGACCUAUCCUCAUUCCGGGCAUUUGAAUUUCUUCUCUCGAUUGAGAUUUUUCGAGUUCAGAAUUAACUAUUUUCUAGAAUCGAUUUGGAGAAUUUCUCAGGUUCGUAAUUAUCGCAGGAAAUGGGAAAUGAAGGGAUAAGCUUGAGCUUAAAGCAGUCAAAGAUGGCGCUAUUAUGUACAUUGCUUUGGAUAAAAAGGCUCUUUUAUAUGAAAAACUUACAAGGGCAGAGCUUUCAUAUGAAUAAGUAGAACUGUAGAAGAGAAGUACUAUGUAGAUUUCUUUAGGAAAGGAAUUGAUCAUGAAGAAGAUUUACCACCAUUAAAUACCUGCAACAAUUCCAUUUCAGCACCACCAGAAGAUUUAAAACCAGAUGGAGAAGACGAAGGUUCUCUGUUUAACACCAAAUUUGCGGGACUUUGAUGCGCAAUUAGGACAGCUGAUAUAAGUCAACACGUGCAUAUGUUCAGGAAAACUACAUUGUUGUCUCAUUUUCUCCAUUAGUCAUAUGUCUGAUACAUAACACAAAGAAGGAGAGAAGGAAGCAAGCGAAUUGUUAUAGAUUUUACAUUUUUACUCUGCUUUUAUCAAGUGAAUCAACAUAUAUCUCUUGCUAAUCUUCUUGUUGAAAAAUCUGUGCAGAGAGGUUCGUGAAGAAGUGAAUUAAACGAGAGAAAAUGCAACAUAAUUGAAAUUGGAUGUUUAUACAGUUAGUAUUGUAUGUUUUAUUUUACUUAA